AGGUGCUGAAACGUUAAACUAUUCCGAACUUUUCUAUUCAAAUGCUGCAAUCAGCCCUCCGCGAUUGGUCAACAAAUUUUCGGGCCGCCCCCACUUAACUUGUCUGUCACGCGAUGUCACGAAAACCGCGAUAAAUCCCCAUCUGAUAUGACGUAUACACACGGAUUAUGCAUGAUUAAACCGAACAAAAGAAAAGUAAUUAUUUCUGAUUCGACGUCUUUUGGACAUUAGCCCCCUGCUAUUGUCCAAAUAUUCUCGGGGUGCGCCCACUACGCCUGUCUCUCACGCGACGCAAGAAAACCGCGAAAACUCGCCGCGUCUGAGUGACGUAUACGCGUUUUAAAGAUGCAUUACUAUGUCAAACAAAACUAAUUUUUUUUCUGAAUAGCCGAAGACUGCCUCGUUCCGAAAGGAAUAGAAUAUGGCUGUCCGCCGAUCGCCCAGGCACUGGCUUGUCGCAUCUCCUGGAGAGCAUGGAUUUAUUUGGGUAUAAUAAACCUUUUUGCGUGGCAGUAUAACGUUAUCGAGCAUUUUCGGCAUGUAUACGACAUC
rnacentral:lncRNA from 1 species